rnacentral:rRNA from 1 species
GAACUGAAGAGUUUGAUCCUGGCUCAGAUUGAACGCUGGCGGCAUGCUUUACACAUGCAAGUCGAACGGCAGCACGGGGGCAACCCUGGUGGCGAGUGGCGAACGGGUGAGUAAUGCAUCGGAACGUGUCCUUGAGUGGGGGAUAACGCAGCGAAAGCUGUGCUAAUACCGCAUAAGCUCUGAGGAGGAAAGCGGGGGACCGAAAGGCCUCGCGCUGGAGGAGCGGCCGAUGUCCGAUUAGCUAGUUGGUGAGGUAAAGGCUUACCAAGGCGACGAUCGGUAGCUGGUCUGAGAGGAUGAUCAGCCACACUGGGACUGAGACACGGCCCAGACUCCUACGGGAGGCAGCAGUGGGG